rnacentral:rRNA from 1 species
CAGUCGCCGCGGUAAUACGGAGGGAGCUAGCGUUGUUCGGAAUUACUGGGCGUAAAGCGCACGUAGGCGGCUAUUCAAGUCAGAGGUGAAAGCCCGGGGCUCAACCCCGGAACUGCCUUUGAAACUAGAUAGCUUGAAUCCAGGAGAGGUGAGUGGAAUUCCGAGUGUAGAGGUGAAAUUCGUAGAUAUUCGGAAGAACACCAGUGGCGAAGGCGGCUCACUGGACUGGUAUUGACGCUGAGGUGCGAAAGCGUGGGGAGCAAACAGGAUUAGAUACCCCGGUAGUCCCUGUCUCUUAUAC